UAUAAUGCACUGGUUCAUGCACAAGUAAAAGGAGGGAACAUUGCUGGUGCUUAUUCUCUUAAGAAGGAGAUGAUUCUCUGUGGCCUUUAUCCUGAUGUUGUUACUUAUAAUUUGUUAAUAGGUGCUGCUUGUACCUUAGGGCACAUCCGUUUAGCACUUCAAUUACAUGAUGAAUUGCUGACAAGUGGAUAUGACCCUGAUAUUAUAACUUACACUGAACUAAUUAGAGGUCACUGUAUGAGAGGCAAUGUGAAGGAGGCUGAAGAGCUCUUUUCCAAGAUAGAGAAAGCUGGUUUACCAAUGGAUCACAUUCCAUUUAAGAUACUUAUUAAGACGUACUGCAAAAUGAGGGAGUUUGACAUGUCAUUUGACCUGUAUCAAAAGUACUUGAAUAAGGACAAAUGAGACUGUUAUCUUUAAUGGGCUUUAUUUGAUCAUAGGACGGUGGAGUCAAUGAUUUUGGAAAGCAAGGGCCGGUAUUUGCAUGCAAGUAAUAGCUUCUGCCUUUGAGAAUCCGUGGUUGAUGAUGGCAAUUUUUGCUUGCAGCGAAUGUGAAACUUUCUUAUAUUCUUGCAGCAGAUGGCACAAGGGGCCACUGUCAUAUGCAGAAGACAUUAUUGGGAUUGCUGGAGUACAUCUUGCCUAAGUUCACCAUAAUAGUGGAGUGAUACUUAUUAUUUAAGAGAGCUAAAGUUUGCCGGCUAGAUAACUGUAAAACCGCAGGUUCAUGGCUCAACAACAUACUCAGGACGUGACGUUGGCAUGCGUUGAUGGAUUUGUUUCCCUGUUUCUCUGAACAAAAGAAAACGUCUUUAAAGCUUUUCGUUUGCCAGGGAUUUCUUCCUCAUCAACAAUCAUCGACACCCUUGCCACAAUCUAUGAAAUUGACCCCACCUUCAGAUCCAUAGACAAGAAUGGGUGCUCAAUUGAAAGACAUUGUGAAAUUUGGACUUUGAAAUUUCUUUUUUUUAAGUUUUGGAAAAAAAAAAUGGAGGAAAGAAAUGGAAAAUGGCUGCAAUUUGGUAAGCGGCCGAACUGGACUCUUGUAGAUUAGCGGUAAAUACUAAGCUUUGCUCCAUUAACCCCAUUGAAAAAAGAGAAAAGAGAAUAAAAGCAAACCUGAAAUUUGUUUUCUCAGCUGUUUAUAAUUUUCUUUUUCCUUUUUGUCUUUUCCCCUUUGUGUGUAGUUGGUUCUGUUUGUUAACAUUCUCGAAUUUGUUUUUGCUGCAGCAUUUAGGUGCCAAAAGAACCAGUACAAUGUGUUUGAUUUGAGUUGCUGCUGGUUGUGAAUGUUCAAGCUAUCCCAUGUGUUUGAUGAAAUCUUUGUGAGAAAAUGUAUAGCCUUCAGAAAGAGAUCUAUUUUUUUUCCUCUCUCACAUUGGUAUUGCUAGUAGGGAUAUGGCACUCAUUGACACUGCAGCUCUCUAGUGUUCUUACUUUUUGUAGAGAUGGUAAUCACAGCAAUAUAAAUUAUACAAAAGUCAUUGCUUCUGAGGUUGUAAUUCCGGAUUGUUAUUGCAUUUAUGUCUGCAUUUCCAAAUAGCAAAGAUAACAUUUGUGUCUCCAUUGAUCUCUAAUUGUUUGAUAUGUAUGAUCAGGAGCCAUAAAGAGAUGUUGAAGCUUCAGGGCGUGGCCAUACAAGAAAGGACUAUUGUUGCUCUUUUAAUUGUUCACUUAAAAUUUGAUCAAUAUUGUUCAUUAGUGAAAGAAUGUAUUCACUCCUUUAUUUAUUUAUUUAUUCAGAAUUGUAGGUAAUAUGUAAAGAACAGAAAGAUGGUGCGAUUUUUGUUACUGUUCUGCACCUAUGUAACAUUUUGAUCUUUUCCCACUCUUUGAUAUGUAAUCGCUUAUCUGAAAGCAACAAACAAUCAACUAUAUGCAUAUACAGUUGUUUCAA